rnacentral:snRNA from 1 species
GGCAGCAGAAACGGCCAUAUUCUAAGACUUGAACCAAACAGAAACGAGCCUGGCCCAGGCACAAGGAUGGCACACAAAUCUGUGAAGCUUUCCAUGUUUUU